AAAUUGCUAAUAUAUCGCAGAGUUUUGCACAUUGGGACGCAGGCCAUGUGUCACAGGUGAGGUCACGUGACAGGCGGAGGAUUGCGUCUGCUGCAGAGUCUCAGCGGUGAGUUUAUUCCCAUCCCUUCAGAAUCACACAAACACAAACUCCUCCUCCUCAGCUCCAGCUGCUGCUGUGUGAGGAACAGGAGCGUGAUGCCGCGCGCGGGAGAUUUACUGUUACUUUGUAGCGACUGCUGAGAGGAAAUUCUGCGAUCUGUUACAUUUAAACCGAUGAGGGAACAUGAGCUCCAGAAGAUGUGCAGCACCAGCAGGUGACCCAGUCCACCAUCCUCCAAACUCUCAGACAUCACAGAGACCGCGGUGAUGUCCAGACCUGCAUCUGAGCCCGUUCCCUGCAGCAGCGCCCCGUCCAGCGCAUGUUUCUCAGUCAUUUACGAGCUCACAGAUGCGGAGGAACUCAAAGAACCCGGCGAUCUCGCUGAGCUCAUAAAGACACACACAGCGGAUCACAUCAGCGCCAGUGAGAAGACAGAAAACCCGUCUGUGCUGCACAUCGAGGGCCGUUCUGAUCAGGAUGAAUCUGUUAUCCCGUCCACAGGAAGUGGUUGUCCUCUUGACUUCCUGUCUGGUGUCUGAGCGAGACGCUGAGAGUGUGUGGCUCCCUCUGAACGCCUCUGAAAGCUCACAGUGUUCCUCACAGCCGACAGACCUCAAUAAUAAUCUCUUAGAGAGCGUGAGUAAGGAUCGCAGACGGAAGCAGGCUCGUCCCGAGCGCAGCCCCGACCCGCAGGACCCCCGCAGCUGGACACCGGUCAGAGCCGACUGAUCAUCACCUCUGACUACAGGUGGAGCCUCUGAGGGAGUGAGUAUGGUGUGUUUCUGCUCAGCGAGGAGAUCCGGCGCUGGAGGAGGAGCAGGAGCAGGAGCUCGAGCUCCGAGGAGGAGAGCGACUCCUGAGCUCUGUCCCCCUCAGCUGUCUUCAUCUCCAGAGCAUCGGCGAGGCUACAGAAGACCUUGUGUGGCUUUGUGCACGCUUUAGGAUCUUCAGGUAAAUCAGAAUGUGCUUUUCACAGCAUGCCAUCAUGUUUUGAA